CAGAAUUCAUCUGUAGCCCUUGGCCAUUCACACCUUCAGACUUCACUCAUUCUUCUCUCACCAUCUCUCUGUGACUAGGGACUGUCCCCUCUUCUGUGAGUUUUUAAAGAGUCUGAGAAUGGAGAAAAAGGACUCCGAAGCUUAUAAGUGCCCUUUCCUCUACAACCACUGAUGAAUGAGAAAUCUUGGAAAAGAAGCAAACUGGAAGUCAGGAGGGACAUGUCAAGGGAGUUGUGUAUUCCAUUUUUAAAAAUAAAGAAUCUACAAUUCAAAGAUUGUGCCAAAUCAGAGAAGAAAAGGAAAAUUGGGCUCUUCGCAAACUCUGGAUACAAGUCCUUUAUCAGAUAUAUGUUUGCAAAUGUUCUCUCUCAGUCUGUGGCUUGUCUUUUCUUUGUGGGUCUUGUUCCUGGACUGGUUUAUAACAAAAAAGAGUAACUCAGGCACUGCCAAGACUUGUUCCUACGAUGUGUGAUCCUAUCAACUCAGAAGAGAAAAUGAUAUGCCUCGAGAUGAAGUAUCCUGGAGACAUUGCCCAGCGUUCUGGCUUUCAAAUGCCUCCUAAAUCAAUCCUAACUCUUUACUUGUCAAUCAAAGAUUCAGGAUCAAUGCACUGAUUUUGUGACUUUUUGACUAAUCUGAGCUAUACUUACCCUUUUCAUCUGAACAUGAUGAGUCUAUGAGUUUUAAUGCCCAACAAAACUAUCUAAGAUUCUUUAUCAUUUUAAGCCAUUAAAAGGCAAGGCAAAUAUAGAAUAUCAUAUAAAAAAUAAGCAAUCAGUGAAAUAUCACCAGUUUUGUAAAAAUAUUACAGUUCAUAAGGAAGAGCUCAUCUCGAAUAAUGAUAAGCUACUCCUUUCUGUAUAGAUUUACACUAACCCCUCAUUUAUGUUAGAAUAAAACUUAAGAUUGUAUUACAUCCAUGAAUGUAGAGCUAGAACCAGGAAAAAAUAUAGAGGGAUAAAAACCAUAAUUGCUGAAAUAAAACUAGAUCCAUGACCCCAAUCAUACAUUAGACACUAUAGAAACAAGUUUUGGUAAAGGAAAAGUCUAACUUAAUACAUUCCAUCAGAACUAAGAAAAUGAGAAAGUGAGUAAAACAAUGAGAAAGAACAAUGUUUAGAGAUCCAAAGAUCUAAAUUUUAAUAAGAAACUUCUAGGUAAAAGAUGAAAAUUCAAUGGACAAAUGGAAUAAAAGCAAAAUAUAACACAAACUAACUUUUCUAAGUGAAAGAAAGAUGUGAAUCUAGAACUCAAAAAGACAGGUCAGGUACACAACAAUUAUUUUUAAAGAUAAAGGAAACUUGUCUACUAACAUGUUAGCCAAAAAGAGGUUUGGGAUGGAAUGGAGGCUAGUGGAUAAUUCUCCUAAAGGAUGAAAUCAUACUGAAUCCAACAUGUUACCAUCUUAAAGAUGUAAACAUGAUAUUAUGAAGUUUGUCCCACAUAUUUCUUUCAUUCACUGAACAAAAACUCAAGGCUAAAUUUGUGACAAAUUUUUAACGAUUUAGGACUUUAUGAAAACUAUACACAUUUAUUUUCUGAGCUCAUUUUGUUGUUAUGC
rnacentral:lncRNA from 1 species